rnacentral:misc_RNA from 1 species
AAAAUCUAAUUCCUAUGCACUUUGUGAUGGCAAGUAGCUAUUGUUUAUUAUUAAAUCUAUCAAGUAUAAUUUUGUAUCUUGUGGUAGUUAUAAACAAGCAAAUGUGGAGCACUUUGCAGCGGUCCUGUAUUGCUGUUUCUUUUCGCAUUAAUAAAUCAUAUAUAAAUUAUGAGUAAAAUAUAUUUAUAUUAUUUUCAUUAGAUUAUGUAUAUA